UUAUAGCAGUUUCUUUCUCUCGAAAAAUCUCAGGUUACUUGACUGGGAGUUCUCAGACCUCCAGUUUCAGCCCUGCCCUCAGCCUCCAGUCGUUGAGAGAGAGACACCCAGCCCCAGCAAUCGGAUUGGGCAGCCCGCCUUGACACACCACUGUGCUGAGUGCUUGAAGACGUGUUUCACCAGAUGGUUGGGGUUAGCGUGUGUCAUCACAUUCGAGUGGGGAUUAGGAGUAGGAAGGCUGCCUUGCCGGAGCUGUGUGGUCUUCUCCAAGGGAGAAUUGCGGGCAAGAGAACUCCUUUGCUCCGGGGAGAAGAGGAGGAAUUCGUUUUCCGCAGCCACGAGAAAAGCAGUGUUUUCAGUUUGUGAUCCAGUGAGGUGAAUCCAUGUGUUACUUCCUUUGCACCCUAACCGACUUGCCUUCCCACAUCAGUGUUCAGAUACCUGUGGUGCUUAAGAAUUCCUGCUCCUAUUGGGCUUUCAAACUGAGUAGAGAAACCCAACACCCUCACCCUUGACAGGUGAGAGAUUCUAUGAAUAAUACUGUAUAUAAGCUAUUCUGAAAUAAGAGCUGUUUUGUAGGUUGAAUAACAGGAUUUAUGGCUAAUGCUCUGUGAUAUUUGUAUUUGGGUACAGAAAGAUGCUUGAAAAAAUUAUGGUUCAAGUCACAUUGCAUAUAUAUUUUUGGCAACCAGAGAGUUUAUUUUUUAAUCCUCUUUGUAUUUAUUUUCUUUUCCAUUAUGGUUUAUUAAUCCUCUUUUGAAAAAUUAAAAAAAUGUGUGAUCAUUGUGUCUAGCUGUUAAACAGAGUGUUCUCUGAAACUGUUUCAAAAGUCUUCUUCAGUGAGGAAACAUCCUCAGAAAUAACCAGGCAGUUAUGAGGACUGAGUAAGAUCCGAUUCCCAAUAUUACAUAACCCAAAGAGGACUAAGUUCAUAAGCUGAAGUCUUUUGGAAUUCCAGUCAUUCCAUUUUAGCUUUACAGUGGAACUGGGGUUUAACAAAAUAAAGACAGAAAAGCAAACUAAUAUCUGGAGUGAGGUCAGGAUUAGGAUAACAGGCACAGCCUGGAGCAGGUACAGUGCUGGCUACCAAUGCCACUUUCCAUGAUCACAGAGAUAUUUCAGGAAAAAGUCAAGGCCCUCGUCACCGAUAGCUCUUUCUCAGGGAGACAUGGUUUGAUGGCCUCUAACAAAGGCAAGCCACUGAUUAGCCACGGGACGCCCCCCCCCCCGCCCCCCGUCCUGCUCCCCGCCCACCCGCAACAAGCAUAAGGUGCUAAUACUAUAGACUGACCACCAAGCUGUCUGCCCAGGAUUUGGGCAAAAUGGGAGAAUUCCCCUGUCCCCGCCCAAAGUCAGUUGUCCGCAGGAUUUAGGCAGGAUGGAAGCAAGAAAGGAAGUGUUGAGAAAUAAUAAAUUCACGCCUUGAGAAGGCAAAGUUGUAUGUUCCUCCCUCUAACAAGGCAA
rnacentral:lncRNA from 1 species